UUCUCCAGGAAAACCAGGGAGACCAGGAGGACCCAUAACUGCAGUCCCUAAGAUUAAAAAAAUAAAAAAUUAGAGUUGCAGGAGAAGAAACAAUUCACAGAGUUAGCAUUAUUUUGCCUCCUGUCUUCAGAGGUAUAGUCUGCUGUUUUGUGAGACAUUA
rnacentral:snoRNA from 1 species